rnacentral:rRNA from 1 species
UACGUAGGGGGCAAGCGUUAUCCGGAUUUACUGGGUGUAAAGGGAGCGCAGACGGCUGUGUAAGUCAGAAGUGAAAACCCCGGGCUCAACCCGGGGACUGCUUUUGAAACUAUGCAGCUAGAGUGCUGGAGGGGCAAGCGGAAUUCCUGGUGUAGCGGUGAAAUGCGUAGAUAUCAGGAGGAACACCGGUGGCGAAGGCGGCUUGCUGGACAGUAACUGACGUUGAGGCUCGAAAGCGUGGGGAG